rnacentral:tRNA from 1 species
GCUCUACUGGUGAAGUGGUAAUCACGCUUGCAACGCUUUAACUCAUAUGGAUCGUAUAUAACUCAAAUCGACAGAAGCAAGAGUGGAGAGUUCGAUUCUCUCGUGGGGCA